GAUGAACGCUAGCUACAGGCUUAACACAUGCAAGUCGAGGGGAAACGGCAUCGAAAGCUUGCUUUUGAUGGGCGUCGACCGGCGCACGGGUGAGUAACGCGUAUCCAACCUGCCCAUCACUUGGGAAUAACCUUGCGAAAGUAAGACUAAUGCCCAAUGACAUCCCACGAAGGCAUCCGAAUGGGAUUAAAGAUUUAUCGGUGAUGGAUGGGGAUGCGUCUGAUUAGCUUGUUGGCGGGGUGACGGCCCACCAAGGCAACGAUCAGUAGGGGUUCUGAGAGUAAGGUCCCCCACAUUGGAACUGAGACCCGGUCCAAGCUCCUACGGGAGGCAGCAGUGAGGAAUAUUGGUCAAGGGGCGAGAGCCUGAACCAGCCAAGUAGCGUGCAGGAUGACGGCCCUAUGGGUUGUAAACUGCUUUUAUAAGGGAAUAAAGUGGGUCACGUGUGACUUUUUGCAUGUACCUUAUGAAUAAGGACCGGCUAAUUCCGUG
rnacentral:rRNA from 1 species